rnacentral:rRNA from 2 species
UGCAGUCGAGCGGAUGAGAAGAGCUUGCUCUUCGAUUCAGCGGCGGACGGGUGAGUAAUGCCUAGGAAUCUGCCUGGUAGUGGGGGACAACGUUUCGAAAGGAACGCUAAUACCGCAUACGUCCUACGGGAGAAAGCAGGGGACCUUCGGGCCUUGCGCUAUCAGAUGAGCCUAGGUCGGAUUAGCUAGUUGGUGAGGUAAUGGCUCACCAAGGCGACGAUCCGUAACUGGUCUGAGAGGAUGAUCAGUCACACUGGAACUGAGACACGGUCCAGACUCCUACGGGAGGCAGCAGUGGGGAAUAUUGGACAAUGGGCGAAAGCCUGAUCCAGCCAUGCCGCGUGUGUGAAGAAGGUCUUCGGAUUGUAAAGCACUUUAAGUUGGGAGGAAGGGCAUUAACCUAAUACGUUAGUGUUUUGACGUUACCGACAGAAUAAGCACCGGCUAACUCUGUGCCAGCAGCCGCGGUAAUACAGAGGGUGCAAGCGUUAAUCGGAAUUACUGGGCGUAAAGCGCGCGUAGGUGGUUUGUUAAGUUGGAUGUGAAAGCCCCGGGCUCAACCUGGGAACUGCAUCCAAAACUGGCAAGCUAGAGUACGGUAGAGGGUGGUGGAAUUUCCUGUGUAGCGGUGAAAUGCGUAGAUAUAGGAAGGAACACCAGUGGCGAAGGCGACCACCUGGACUGAUACUGACACUGAGGUGCGAAAGCGUGGGGAGC